rnacentral:rRNA from 1 species
AUUGAACGCUGGCGGCAGGCCUAACACAUGCAAGUCGAGCGGAUGACGGGAGCUUGCUCCUUGAUUCAGCGGCGGACGGGUGAGUAAUGCCUAGGAAUCUGCCUGGUAGUGGGGGACAACGUUUCGAAAGGAACGCUAAUACCGCAUACGUCCUACGGGAGAAAGCAGGGGACCUUCGGGCCUUGCGCUAUCAGGUGAGCCUAGGUCGGAUGAGCUAGUUGGUGGGGUAAUGGCUCACCAAGGCAACGAUCCGUAACUGGUCUGAGAGGAUGCUCAGUCACACUGGAACUGAGACACGGUCCAGACUCCUACGGGAGGCAGCAGUGGGGAAUAUUUGACAAUGGGCGAAAGCCUGAUCCAGCCAUGCCCAGUGUGUGAAGAAGGUCUUCGGAUUGUAAAGCACUUUAAGUUGGGAGGAAGGGCAGUAAGCUAAUACCUUGCUGUUUUGACGUUACCGACAGAAUAAGCACCGGCUAACUCUGUGCCAGCAGCCGCCGUAACAC